AGGGCGGGGGGGGUGGCCUAACAUGCAAGUCGAACGAAGCGCCCGCGCGGAUUCCCUCGGGAUGAAGCGCGGAUGACUGUAGUGGCGGACGGGUGAGUCACGCGUGGGCAACCUGCCCCGUGCCGGGGGACAACAGCCGGAAACGGCUGCUAAUACCGCAUGAUCCGGGAGGGCCGCAUGGCCUUCCCGGGAAAGCUCCGGCGGCACGGGAUGGGCCCGCGUCUGAUUAGUUUGUUGGCGGGGUAACGGCCCACCAAGACUGCGAUCAGCAGCCGGCCUGAGAGGGCGGCCGGCCACAUUGGGACUGAGACACGGCCCAGACUCCUGCGGGAGGCAGCAGUGGGGAAUAUUGCACAAUGGGGGAAACCCUGAUGCAGCGACGCCGCGUGGGCGACGAAGCGCUCCGGCGCGUAAAGCCCUGUCAGCAGGGAAGAAAAAAGACAGUACCUGACCAAGAAGCCCCGGCUAACUACGUGCCAGCAGCCGCGGUAAUACGUAGGGGGCAAGCGUUAUCCGGAUUCACUGGGCGUAAAGGGAGCGCAGGCGGCACGGCAAGUCUGGUGUGAAAGCCCGGGGCCCAACCCCGGGACUGCAUUGGAAACUGCCGGGCUGGAGUGCCGGAGGGGUAAGCGGAAUUCCUGGUGUAGCGGUGAAAUGCGCAGAUAUCAGGAAGAACACCGGUGGCGGAGGCGGCUUACUGGACGGCAACUGACGCUGAGGCUCGAAAGCGUGGGGAGCAAACAGGAAUAUAUACCCUGGUAGUCCACGCCGUAAACGAUGAAUACCAGUUGUCGGCGGGUAGGCCCCGCCCGUGCCGCCCCUAACUCACAAAUUAUUCCGCCUGCGCAGC
rnacentral:rRNA from 1 species